rnacentral:rRNA from 1 species
UACGGAGGGAGCUAGCGUUGUUCGGAAUUACUGGGCGUAAAGCGCACGUAGGCGGCUUUGUAAGUUAGAGGUGAAAACCCGGGGCUCAACUCCGGGCCUGCAUUCGAUACUGGAUGGCUUGAAUCCGGGAGAGGGAUGCAGAAUUCCAGGUGUAGCGGUGAAAUGCGUAGAUAUGUGGAGGAACACCAGUGGCGAAAGCGGCUCUCUGGUCUGUAACUGACGCUGAGGCGCGAAAGCGUGGGGAGCAAACAGG